rnacentral:rRNA from 1 species
GGCCUACGGGUGGCAGCAGUGAGGAAUAUUGCACAAUGGACGAAAGUCUGAUGCAGCAACGCCGCGUGGAGGAUGACGGCCCUUGGGUUGUAAACUCCUUUUUUCAGGGAAGAGUGAGGACGGUACCUGAAGAAUUAGUCACGGCUAACUACGUGCCAGCAGCCGCGGUAAUACGUAGGUGGCAAGCGUUAUCCGGAAUUACUGGGCGUAAAGCGCACGCAGGCGGUCUCUUAAGUUUGACGUGAAAGCUCCCGGCUUAACUGGGAGAGGUCGUUGAAUACUGGGAGACUUGAGGCAAUGAGAGGGGUGUAGAAUUCCCGGUGUAGUGGUGGAAUGCGUAGAUAUCGGGGGGAAUACCAGUGGCGAAAGCGGCACCCUAGCGUUGUUCUGACGCUCAUGUGCGAAAGCGUGGGGAGCGAACGGGAUUAGAUACCCUGGUAGUCC